rnacentral:rRNA from 1 species
AUUGAACGCUGGCGGCAGGCCUAACACAUGCAAGUCGAGCGAGCGGCGGACGGGUGAGUAAUGUCUGGGAAACUGCCUGAUUGAGGGGGAUAACUACUGGAAACGGUAGCUAAUACCGCAUACCCUCAGAUGUGCCCAGAUGGGAUUAGCUAGGAGGUGGGGUAAAGGCCUACCAAGGCGACGAUCCGGAACUGGUCUGAGAGGAUGAUCCGUGAAACUGGAACUGAGACACGGUCCAGCCUCCUACGGGAGGCAGCAGGGGGGAAUAUUGGACAAUGGGCGAAAGCCUGAUCCAGCCAUGCCGCGUGUGUGAAGAAGGUCUUCGGAUUGUAAAGCACUUUAAGUUGGGAGGCGUUACCAACAGAAUAAGCACCGGCUAACUUCGUGCCAGCAGCCGCGGUAAUAC